GGUGGUGGUGGCAGGGCGGUGCAGGGCGGGUCCUAGCAGCUCCACAGUUAGGAGUGAGUAAGGCGGGCUGGGAAAAGACUCUCUUGCCUUUAAAGGCAAGCAUCCCUGGCUGCCAGGAGGAAAGGUUUGGCUGAGUCAGCUGCAGCUGGUACAAGGGGGGAUGGCAGGGGCCGGGACAGGAGAGCCCCUAAUCCGAAGGAUGUUUUGCAACUCAAAUCCUCCUGGAUUGCAGAUGGGCCUGCUCUACACAGCAGAAAAUGAUCACGCUGCAAUACCAGAGUUUUCAUGGGACCAUUUCAACAACCGUUAGAAGCUGACUCAGCUGUCUCCUGUCCCUGACUAUUCUAAGAUGAGAGAAGCUGAUAGGAACAGUUUGGCAAAGUGAGGCCCAAAGAAGGGAAAUAACUUGCCCAAGAUCACACAGCAAGUAAGAAACAGAGCUGAAGAAGAGCUCAGCUCAGCCUGGAACCACGCAAACUGCUGUAGGCUUUGCCAAGGAUUGAUGAGAAAAGCAGAUGGUUAAAAGCACCGGAACUCCUGUGAGUUAAAGAAUAUCUGCGAGGCUAGGUGUGGCAGCUCUUGCCUGUAAUCCCAGCUCUUUGGGAGGCCAAAGUGGGUGGAUUGCUUGAGUCCAGGAGUUUGAGACCAGCCUGGGCAACAUGGUGAAACUCUGUCUCUACCAAAAAAAAAAAAAAAAAAAAUUAGCCAAGUGCGAUGUUGUAUGCUUGAAGCCUUACUACUCAGGAGGCUGAAGCAGAAGGAUCCCUUGUGCCCAGGAGGCAGAGGUGGCAGUGAGCUGAGAUUGUGCCACUGCACUUCAAGGUAUUGUUUACUGCGAACAGAAAUUAAAAUAAGAAGAAGAAGAAAAGAAUAUCUGUGAUUACAAGAUUACUAUGCAAUUUUGAAAGCCUGCUGUUACCCAGCUGGACAGCUAGAGUUAUUCCUAGUGGUGGGAUGGCUGGACUGGGGGCCCACUGUGGAGAGCUGGUUUCCCACUGGAGUCCUCUGAAAAGGUGCCUGAUUUCACAGCUCCGAUUCUACAGAGGGAGGCAAGGCACUUCACGUAAUUGCUACCCUUUAUUUAUGGAGGAAUUACUCCGUUGGGGGUUCCCUUUAUAUGUGAACAGUCUGCCGAAGUUAAUUCUUACAGUGAUUCUAUGCAGAAGGCACUUUAGAGGGGGCUGCUGGGGCACAGGUGGGGCUAGGUUCCAGCUGGUUGGGACUCCACCCUCCUAUCAUGGCCCAGGACUGAGGCUUUCAAAUGGACCACCAGCAUUUAUGAAGCUCUGUGCCCCAUUAUCCCAUCAGAGCGUCUUCUUGGCCCCGGCAGGCAGAGCAGGGCCACCUUACUGACAAAGAAGCCCAGGAAGAGGAAGAGGGUGCUCCCCGCACAACCCCGUUGCCUCUGCCUGCUUAGUCCAGAAUUCUGGAUAGAGAAAUAAUGAGAAAAGCUCCCAAGUGUUACUGGAUUUCUGCCUGCCAGGGAAGCUGUGACCUCAGUAAGGGCAGGGUGUUCCUUCCAGGGAACUCGAGGUGGGGCAGGAUGGGUAGGGAGUGAGAUCAGAGAGAAGCCCAUGUCGGGAAGAGGGGAAGGCAAGUCUCUGGGGGUUUCUGGGAGAGAGGAAGGGAACAGGCCAGGAAUAGGGGCUUGACCUGGAGAUUACUUCGAAGCAGGUUUAAACAGGGGCCAUGUGGGAGUACGGAGCCCUGGGGUCAGAGAUUACUGGAUGCAAAUUAUGACUGCCACUUAUGAGAACGGUGAGUUUGGACAAAUGAUUUCCCUGGACCUCAGUGUCUUCAUGUAUAAAAGGGAAGAAGCCCAGUGGGUAACUGGACUACUUCGUGGGUUAGAUCCUGGCUCCAUCACUUGCCAUUGUGACCUAGGGCAAACGAAUUCUUUCAUACCCAGUCUACGGGCCUUGUCUCUAAGAUGAACUUGGUAAUAAUGAAACCUAUCCCUCACAGGGCUGCAAUGAGGAUGAAGGGUCUGGCAGCACAUGGACAAUUCUUAGAGCAGGCUUUUCUCCUGCAGAGUCUUUGCUGCUAUUAUCAUCAUCCUCAUCAUCAUCACCAUCUACCUCAAAGGAUUCUUGGGGGGCUCAAACAAGGCAGGUUGUACAAAUUGUCUGGCACAGACGUCAUUAAAUGGUAACAGUGCAGAGUGACAGGUGCUGUGAUACGGGGAGGUGCUGGGAGACACAGAAAAGAGAAAAGACUUUUGUCUGGCUGGGUGGAAGAAGGGUGUGGAAGGUGUGGAAGCCAAGGGAAACUCACUUUGCCCUCUGAAGGUUCAAUGAAAAAUCAACUGAAAACAGGCAGAUAAAUAGAAGAAUUGGCGUGCAAAUGUAUUAAUGUGCAUACAGGGAGAACUACAGAGUGAUUACUCCUCACCCUCCAAUGGGGUGCAGAAGUACAUAUGUCAUCUUGAGGUUACAGGAAGAAUUGGGGGUUUGGGGCUGGGCCUGGUGACUCACACCUGUAAUCCCAGCACUUUGGGAAGCUAAAGCCAGUGGAUUAUCUAAGGUCAGGAGUUCAAGACCAGCCUGAACAACAUGGUGAAACCCCAUCUCUACUAAAGAUGCAAAAAAUUAGCCCACUGCAAUCCCAGCUACUCAGGAGGCGGAAGCAGAAUUGCUUGAACCCAGGAGGCAGAGGUUGCAGUGAGCCGAGAUCACGCCACUGCACUCCAGCCUGGGCAACAAGAGUGAAACUCCAUGAAAGAAAGAAAGAGAGAGAGAAAGGAAGAAA